AUUUCGUGAGAAAUAGUGUUUUUCAAGGUUGGCCUGCCACCGCAUGUUUGUUUACGUCCAUCAUGGCGGUGAUUGUUUGGCUUACAGCGUGUCGGCGUUUUGAAAAUAACCACGCAGGAAGUUAUGUACCUAAGUACUGGAUGUAUAGCAUCUAGGUUGCAAGAUUUGAAGCUGUCAAAUUUGUCGUUUGUAACAUUUCUGUAUGUUGUACCAUAAUUGAAUGGAACUAUUGAAGUUUCAAAUUACCUUUUACUGGUCGUUACAUGGUCAGAGGAGUCUAAGGUGGAUAAUUUUUCGCAUUGAUGUACCAAAAUAAUAAAUUGAUGCCAGUGCGACCAGGUGUUUAAUUGUGUUUGGUACUGGUGUGGUGACAUCCCUACUUUCAAACUGUGUGCAGUGUAUCAAAAAGUUGUGCAAGAAAGGAUAUAAAAGCCAGUGACUGCAGUUUUCUUGGAGUCUAAGAAAGGAUAAUGUUUUGCUGACAUCUGCCAUGUACCCAGCCCCUGGCAUGAACGCUGCAGCUGUUGCUGCCGCUGCUCGGCACCCUGUGAGUCAAUUAUUAUCAAUAAGUAUCCCUUUGAUUAUCUCCUUCUUCAGGCCGGUAAGCUAAAUGCUGGUAUAAUACAGAAAACACCACAAAGAUUUGUUUCUCUAUAAUUUUUGGAAGUUUCUAUGUAGCAUAUUUUUACAUGGAAUUAUCACCAGGAAACAAUAUUUAUUGAGCCAUGCACGGAGUUAUCGUCUAUAAUUUAUCUUAAUAACCAUAUCCCGCAGUUGAAAUUGAACGUAACGGAAAAAUUACAAAUGUCUAUGACUAGGCAUUUUUUUCUAGUUGUACUAUUCAAUAUACAGGGAUCCAGGGUUAAACGGCCAGAUUGCAGGAGCCGAAGCGCCCCUAAACCCCUCUCUAAAUGAAGAUUUCGAUUUUUUUUCGAUAAUCUAUGAAUUCAAGGCAUUAAAGUACAGGGGAGUACAAAUUUUCAUGAGAUUUGGUUUACAACCGUUGCCAAAAUU
rnacentral:lncRNA from 1 species